UACGAAGGGGGCUAGCGUUGUUCGGAAUUACUGGGCGUAAAGGGCGCGCAGGCGGUCCUUACAAGUCAGGCGUGGAAAGCCCCGGGCUCAACCUGGGAAUAGCGCUUGAGACUGAGGGACGUUGAGGUUCGGGAGAGGAGAGCGGAAUUCCCAAGUGUAGAGGUGAAAUUCGUAGAUAUUGGGAAGAACACCGGUGGCGAAGGCGGCUCUCUGGACCGACACUGACGCUGAGG
rnacentral:rRNA from 1 species